rnacentral:rRNA from 1 species
UACGAAGGGGGCUAGCGUUGCUCGGAAUCACUGGGCGUAAAGCGCGCGUAGGCGGCUCUUCAAGUCAGGCGUGAAAGCCCCGGGCUUAACUCGGGAACUGCGCUUGAUACUGUCGAGCUAGAGUGUGGAAGGGGCGAUUGGAAUUCCGUGUGUAGCGGUGAAAUGCGUAGAUAUACGGAGGAACACCAGGGGCGAAGGCGGAUCGCUGGGCCAACACUGACGCUGAUGCGCGAAAGCGUAGGGGAGCAAACGGG